CACGGGCGGCAGAGAUUGACAGUCACGGAUAGAGCAUCCUGCCAACUUCUCCGUCAGCCGUGCCA
ensembl:miRNA